rnacentral:rRNA from 1 species
GUCUAUGGCCAUGCCACCCUGAACAUGUCUGAUCUCAUCUGAUCUCGGAAGCUAAGCAGAGUUGAGCCUGGUUAUAUUUGGAUGGGAACCCACCUAGGAAUACCAGGUGCUGUAGGCA